CUCAUAUUGAAACCUAGUGAAGUAUGAGUUAGUGGCGGACGGGUGAGUAACGCGUGGAAAACCUGCCGUAUACUGGGGGAUAACACUUAGAAAUAGGUGCUAAUACCGCAUAAGCGCACAGCUUCGCAUGAAGCAGUGUGAAAAACUGAGGUGGUAUACGAUGGUUCCGCGUCUGAUUAGCUAGUUGGUGGGGUAAAAGCCUACCAAGGCAACGAUCAGUAGCCGGCCUGAGAGGGUGAACGGCCACAUUGGGACUGAGACACGGCCCAAACUCCUACGGGAGGCAGCAGUGGGGAAUAUUGCACAAUGGGGGAAACCCUGAUGCAGCGACGCCGCGUGAGUGAAGAAGUAUUUCGGUAUGUAAAGCUCUAUCAGCAGGGAAGAAAUACUGACCAUAGGGUCAGCAGACGGUACUUGACUAAGAAGCCCCGGCUAACUACGUGCCAGCAGCCGCGGUAAUACGUAGGGGGCAAGCGUUAUCCGGAUUUACUGGGUGUAAAGGGAGCGUAGACGGCAGCGCAAGUCUGAAGUGAAAUGCCAGGGCUUAACCCUGGAACUGCUUUGGAAACUGUGCAGCUAGAGUGCAGGAGAGGUAAGUGGAAUUUCUAGUGUAGCGGUGAAAUGCGUAGAUAUUAGGAGGAACACCAGUGGCGAAGGCGGCUUACUGGACUGUAACUGACGUUGAGGCUCGAAAGCGUGNGGAGCAAACAGGAUUAGAUACCCUGGUANUCCACGCUGUAAACGAUGAU
rnacentral:rRNA from 1 species